GUUGCCUGUAAAUUCUUUUCCAUCGGUGGAGAUGUACAGAAUCCAGUAAAAGUCAAUGUAUUCUUCUGAAAAUGCAUUUCAGUUGACAAGGUUGACAUCUCUGUACUUCACUUUGGAGCAAUGUAUAAAUCUGCCGAUGUUGGCACAAAUUGGUGAAUCCAACUGUUAAUUUGUAAUCUUCCUAAAGCCCUCUUCCUUUUUAUGUGAAUCAAUUUAACCCCCUAAUCUUCUGUAUGAAUCAUUGGUUUCCUCAUUGUAUCUGGCUCUCUGGUACUUUUUUGAAUAUCAGAGAAGGUUGUAAAUGAUCCAAAUGUCUAACUCUCGUACCUUGAAGUUGUUCUAGACGUAUGUUGAUGACGUGCUUUGCUGAUAAUUAUUAUCAAUGACCAGAGUUCUAAAGAUAUUAUCUUUGCAGGGUUUGUAUGAGGUAACUUGUGGUGAUUGCAAACAUAAAUCAUGUCCAUGGAUCUUUCUCUGCCUGUUCGGUGCACUAUUAUGAUAUUAUCUGGUAAACUGGAAUUGUUAGGGGCUCACUGAGGAAAACACGGCACCUAGUGAUCGGAAAAGGAAGCAGCAUAUUCCAUCAGGAAAGCAGUUAAUAAUGGCUACAGGAUUACCACAAUUGUCAUCCAAGAAGCUCCAGAAUAUUGGCGAAUCUCGUCCCUAGGUCCCAAGGUGGCACAUAUCUGUGGCAACAAGAUCAUCUCUGAAGAGAAUAACUUGUGCAAAUAGGAUGUCAUUGCUUUUUUGGGUGCAGUAUUGAAUGGUGUUGACUUUGAUAUGAUUUGGGAACACUGCUUUUUGUAUGAUUUGGUUGUUGGAUUAACCUUCUGGUAAUCCCCUCCAGGGUAUGCUGAAUUUGCCAAAUGUAGCACCUUACGAUGUUCGUGGCCAACUAGAUCCAGACAUACCAGUAGGUACCAGAGAUCGCUUCAAUAUAUUCUGUUUUCUUGAAUUUAUGAAUGUUGAGUUUACAUCCUCCUCCUCAGAGUGAUACAAUUAGACUUAGUUUACAAAUACUUGCCCAACCUCUAAAUUCAUGUCAGUCUCUUUACUCGUUUGGUGUCUAUUGCUUUUUUUGAUAAAUAAUGCUUAUUUUUCUUUUUGGUGAAACUUUGGUUAUUAAUGUAAGGUAUACUUCCUUCAA